rnacentral:tRNA from 1 species
ACCUGGGUGGCUCAGUGCUUGAGCACUUGACUUCAGCUCAAGUCAUGAUCUCACACUUUGUGAGUUCGAGCCCCACGUCGGGCU